GUCUGUGGCCAUGCCACCUUAGAUUCCGUCUGAUCUCGGAAUCUAAGUAGGGUCGGGCCUGGUUAGUACUUGGAUGGGAGACCACCUAGGAAGACCAGGUGCUGUAGGCG
rnacentral:rRNA from 1 species